AAUUUAUUAGUUUAAAAAAAACAUUAUAUUUUCAAUGUAAAAAUAAAUAAUAAUUUAUAAAUUA
rnacentral:tRNA from 1 species